rnacentral:lncRNA from 1 species
GGAAAGGGAAAUUAACUGCAAUAACAACCGAAAAAGGCCCUGCCUUCGUCCCUGCUUCGGGGUCCCAAUUACAAAGCCAAAGCUACGAAUGAAUUGUCCAGCGGAAAAGUUGAAAGUCAGAAGAGGAAAGCGACGUCUAGCACCUGGGAAAGAGAAAACUAAAGCUCCUGUUUUUGAUUCAAUGUCAAUCUAGCUAUCUAAUUUGCUGCCGAAGAGAAAACCAAAAAGAAACGACGGAAAGCGUAAGAAGAGAAAAAAGCGUCCGACCGCUGACAGACGUAGGAAAAGAAAACUAAGCCUAAAAAAAUAGAUUCCCCCAAUCUUGCUUUGUCCUUUUCUUUUUAUAGCCGCCGUCCAAGAAGAGUCAAAAAAAGAAACGUCUGGUGCAAAGCCUAGUGUUGUCUCCAGAGUUCUGAUCCCACGCUCCGGGUUCACGUGGACCACGGUCCGUCUUUCGGUUUCGUCCACCUUCCAAGGCGUGGCCACGCCCUGGAACGGCAAGUCUUCUGGAAAUUCACCCCGCGAGAUCAUUUUUCAUGCCUACCACCUACAAUUCACACAAAUAUCGAAUAUGAGUGAAAUUCCAAUUCUUAGUACCGUGAAUAGCCAAAAUUAGGACAAGAUAGUAGUGCAAAAUACGCCAAAUAACCGUUCUAUCAGGAACCAAGAAAGAAUCAAACUAAAACUCUGCUAAAAGCUAAGUUAAAAACUCUUGAUAAGAGUUCUCUGGACGUCUGUUUCUUUUUUAAAGCCAAAGAUGACUAAUGCUAUCUAGUCCCGUGGUCCCCGCAGAAAUUGAGAGUCCAACUCUAGAAGAAAAGCUAGCCGACUAAGAGAAAAAAGAUACAAAGAGGUGGGGCCUGCCGAAUUGCUUAUUGUGUUCUAUUGAUAGUAGGACUUCUCGUAUGAGUUCUCCUCAUCAGCACAAAGGUAGGAAAUUAGUUUUGUUCUCUCCUUGUGGGCCAGGUCGAUGGAGAUUUUUUUGAAGUCUCCAACUUAUGGAAUAAGUCUCUUCUUUUUGUAGUUUUCUGCUCCAUUCCCUGAAAUUAAAUCCAAAUACUAAAUAUAAGUAAAUAUUAACAAUUAAAACAAUAUUUGACAGGAAUAAAAGGGAAAAUUAGUAAUAAAAUUGCUAACAAAUAAUACCCUAUCAAUUCCCCCCACACCUGAAUUGCCCUCAAGCAUAGGAACAACAAUUGAACACCAAAAAUUCGACAAUAGCUAUUGCUCCAACUACCAUAUUGCCAAGAUACCAUGAAAACACAUAUCAAGCAUCAAUUGUCAAAAUCCAAGAGACAUCUCCUCGGUUAGUUUCCAAACCGCAGACUCUUCUAAUUUAUGGCUAACUAUUCUAAGAAAAAAAAAAUGGUCGAUCAACAUUUAUCAGCAAAUGGUCCAACUAUUAACCAAAUUCUCAACAUAAAACCCAUAGAUCAGACGGCUAACUUUAUACACACACUUACACAACCUUCACCUUUUUUAUCACGUUUUUCUAUUUUUCUCUUUUUUUUUUCUUUUUUUUCAGAAUAGCAAAAGACUUAAUCUCUAGCCAUUAGAGCCUUUUGACGCGAACUCCAACAUUUGCCAGAUGAAGGAGCCCGGUUACUCAGUUUCGAUCGCUAUGCGACCACACACUCAUAGCAAUUAUUACCUUUUGACGCGAGAAUCGACACUUUAGGUGAAGAUCCCCGGUUACUCAGUAGUAAUAACUAGCGGAGUACAGUUAACUCUUAUUUACAACCAUAUAGCACAAUAACUAAAAAUAACACAAAAAUAACAGCAGCCAGCCUCAAAUUUCCAAACAUGGAGAACUAAAAUUAAUAACUGGACCAAUUCACAUGAAAAAUGCCAAUAAUCAUUCCCUAUACCUAGAAAAGUUAACCAAAAAUUGGAAAAGUUAAGCAAUUAUUGAUAUUCACCAAAGAGAUGUUCCUGAACUUAACCACAUCAACUUGAUACCCUUUUAUUACUAAAACUUGGCAAUGGCAGAAUUAGAGACAACAAUCCAGCAUCAAAACUUGGUAUUCAUAUAAAAACUGAUCACUAGAAAGAAAAAGAAAAGAAAAUAAAUGAAAGAUAGGCAAAAACUAACUAAAAAUAAAGGAAAAGCCCCUAGAAACUAAAAACAAAAAUACUAGCACCACAACGAUCCCCCCCACACCUAAUUCACACAUUGCCCUCAAUGUGAUAAUGUAAAAGCAGAAGGAAGGAGAGGGGCAACGGUACUUCCCUGAAGUCAUCAAAAUAGGGGCGGUUCAGGUGGAAAUUGUGGAUCAACUCGCAUCUAGAGUUGGUGCCAUUCGUGGUUUCACCAUGGACUCUAGAUAUCACUCUAAGCAACAAUAGACUACAAUUGCCAACAAAUAAUGGAAGCUGGAAAUUCAAAGCAAUAACAAUUUUAAAACCAACCCAACGAACAAAAUGCACAAUUUAAUCACCCAGAGGACAUACAAAUACCCCAACACUUAUAGCAAAUGCAAUUGAUAAGCACUUGUGGUCCCAAUUCAGUCAGAUGUAGAAACAAAGCAGUCCGAAUGUGCAACAACUGCUCCAAAGACUUGAGUAAUUAAAAUUGAUGGGCAGAUUACUCCAAGCAAGUCAAUUAAUCCAAGCAAGUCAAUUAGAUGCAACAAAUGAGCAAUAGGCAACGGAAGUGUCACAGUAGCUUCCCAAAUCAACAAACAACCACAGAAAGUAGCUGCCCACACUAUCAGAACACGGCUCCCAACAAUGCAACAAAAUAAUCAAUAAUCACAGGAAGCCCCACUAUUGUAAGAACCAGCAAAAACAAUUCAAUAAGCAAUGAUGUCCGCAAAUGCAGACAAAUACCAAACCUUUCCACACAAAUUCUCAGUAAAUGCCUCCAAAGGUGUAGUUGGCCGCAAAACGCGCACCCUAAAUUGUGGCAAACGCCCCCAACAAGUCAAUUAAAAGCAACUAAGAGCAAUAACAGAAGUAACCCGACCAAAGGCAUAGCAAUGGUCUCAAGACAGAAAGCAACAAAAUAGAGCUCAAGUGCUACCAUAGACGACCUCAACAAAGUAAUGGAUUCAAGCAAUUUGAAUGAGGAGAAUACGGUCAGAGGUCCCCUCAAAUACCAAUUCAAAUAGGCUAACCCAACCCACUAAGAAAUCCAAACAACACUGAACAACACCCCAAUAUCAGUCAAACCUCAUCAAUAGCAAGUAAUCGAAAUAACGGGUUCCACCAAAUAAAUGAAAAACCUGGCACCAGGGUGGGCAAGUGCGGUGGGUGAGAGGGAGCUUGGAGCUUGGAGCUUGGAGUGGUGGCGCGAGUUGGCGGUGCUCGGGGAGUUGAAGCUGAAGUCGCGCGUGAGGGAAAGGCCGCCGUGGCUCGCGGCGUGCGGUGGUGCGAGGUGAGCUAAGCAGCAGCGGUGGACAGCGCCUGAUAGCUCGCGACGGAGGGGUCCAAGGCGGCAGAGUGCGAAGGAGAGCUGGUGGCGAGGAAAGAGGGAGAUAGGACGGGCGGCGGUGAUGGAGGAAGGCGUCGGCCGAAGAAGAAAGGAAAAGGAGAAAAGGGGAAGCGGGGAAGAAGAGGGAGAAAAGGGAAAGAAAGAAAGAAAAGAAAGAAGGAAAGAAAAAAGAAAGAAAAGAGAAAAAGAAAGGAGAAAAAAAAUAAUAGCUUUUGGUCUAUUUUUUUUCUUUUUUUUUUGUUUUUCUUUUUCGAAUUUAAAUUUCAAGAAAAAAAUGAAUUGCUGAGAAAAAACUAAACUGAAGGUCAAGAAGAAGAAAUAAUUUUCUAUAUAUAUUUUUUUGAAUUAAUUUACUUUUUUUUGAAUUUAAUUUUCAAAAUUUGCAUUUUUGAAGAAAACACAAAACUGAAGGUUUAAAAGGAAAAAUUUUUUUUUUUAAUUCAUGUUUUGGAUUGUCAAACACCGCGUAGGCACACCAAAAUUAUAAAACGUCCAUUGACCUUAGGAGACACAAACACCGCGUAGGCACGCCAAGAUUGGUAAACAUCCACUGAUCUCAGGAGACACAAACACCGGGUGGGCACGCCAAGAUUGCACUUCCUGGUCACUGUGGAGGAAAAUAUUAAUACUGAUACUACCCAACGGGAAAAUGACAAAACGAAAGAAAUGAACAACUAAAAACAAUAAAACCAAUAUUUGGGUUGCCUCCCAAAAGAGCGCAUUUGUUUAAUAUUUUUGGCUAGACAUUAUCAUAUUUAUUCAGGGAGGAUAAAAUCUUGUGACUCGUCUUAAUGUUUCAUCCUCUAUAUAGUCCGGAUAGCCCUCGUAAAUAGAGUAAUUCUUGGGCACACGAGUUACGGGCUUCCAUGGACGAGUAAAUGACGCCAAACAGGUCAACGAUAAUUUGCAUUCUCCAUUCACUCCCCCCUCACGUGCAUUUAUUGGUCCAAGAUAUCUUGCCAUCGCCACUCUUAAUUUAUUCCUGUAAUGAAAUUCAAAAUUUUCUGAUAUAAUAAAGUCAAUUUCAUUAACAGGAAUUGAAGAAUAAGAGUCAGGAGAAUAUUGAUUAAGGAAUGGAGGAGAUGUCACCGCAUUUGGAGAUUGUUCACCAGAUUCAUUCAUUUGAACGAGUUGAUACUGGGGUCUCACUUCUUGCACUUCAACUUCUUUUUCAAUUGUAUUUUUAGAUCCAUUUUCUUGAGACUCUUGUAGCUCCAUGUCACUUGUUAGGAUAAUUGCACUCUCAUCUUCUUCAAGGUCGAUGUUGGUCUGUGAGGGCAAUUUUUCACUCACGUAAGAAGCUAAUUGCGUUAUCCUGGAUGCCAAUAGAUGCACUUGAUCCGUCAUCUCGGAUGUCAAUAGUUGCACUUGAUCCGCCAUCGCUUGUGUCUCCUGUUGAAAUCGAUAUGUAUUAGCAGCUAGUAAUUCAAUCAUUUCUUCAAGAGAUAUACCUGACACGAAUGAUGGUUGUUGAGACUCUUGCUGUUGAAAAUCCAUUGGCCCGGUCGCAUAAUUAAAAUUGGAAUUAUCCCACCAUCCUUGAUCAUACCUGUUUGGGUAAGGAUCAUACCACGUUUGAAAUCGAGGUGGAAAAUCUCCAAAAGUAUCAAUUGGAGCACUUAGAUUAUCUUGAAAUGUGGGGCAUGUGUCGGUUGAAUAACUUGAGGCAAAAUAAGUUCCACAAUUUGCAACGGCCCAUUGAUCAUUAGGAAAAACACGAGUCUCAUAACCCCAUUCAGGAAUAAAGUCCAGUCUAUCAUCAAAAUACGGAAUGUUAGCAGCCAUAAACUAUAUAAAAAAAAUAAGAGAAAGAAAAAAAAUCAAGAUGUACUCAAAAAGAAACAAAUUAGUCAGGCACCAGUCCCUGGCAACAGGUCGUCGAGCCUACUACUCAAUAACCAAUAUGACUCUAGCCAAAGGUACAACUUUUCAGACACGGUUCAUGUAACUGAUCAUCGAUGCAAAGGUAAUUCAAUUAUUCAUUAAUAGAUUGGUUAUAGUUGUCAUACACGCGAUGAACAACCAGUCUUUCCUUAAUUUCUUGAUAGUUAAGGUACGACCGUUAACUAUUUCCCUAACCAAAAAAUAACCCUAGGUACGACCAUAGGAUUUAAUUACUCGAUUGCAUUAAUAAUUAGAAAAGCCCAACCCUAACCAACAAACACGCUACGAGGGUUUGUUUAAGUUAGAUCAUACAUUUCCCUAACAUGAAACCAAUCACGCUAGUCGUCACUGGUAUUAAUCAAUUGAACAAUUACGGAUUCAAUCAAUUAAUUUGGCAUUAGAUCAUUAAGUUAAUUCGAAUAUCGGGCCCUUGACAUUCAAAUAACAUAACAAGCAUAAGCAAUUAAAUCAGAAAAUGCACAAAUACCAAUAAAUAAAAGAAAUAAGUAAAAUAAUUAGAUCUCCCAGAUGUUCGGAACCAAGUUCUCAAAUUGACCUUCGACUAGAUGAACUUAGCCACGCCUCAUGAGAAAAUCUCCACGUAAUUUAAUUGAGGUCCAGGCCAUCAAAGGAACCAAGAAAGAAUCAAACUAAAACUCUGCUAAAAGCUAAGCUAAAAACUCUUGAUAAGAGUUCUCUGUACGUCCGUUUCUUUUUUAAAGCCAAAGAUGACUAAUGCUAUCUAGUCCCGUGGUCCCCGCAGAAAUUGAGAGUCCAACUCUAGAAGAAAAGCCAGCCGACUAAGAGAAAAAAGAUACAAAGAGGUGGGGCCUGCCGAAUUGCUUAUUGUGUUCUAUUGAUAGUAGGACUUCUCGUAUGAGUUCUCCUUAUCAGCACAAAGGUAGGAAAUUAGUUUUGUUCUCUCCUUGUGGGCCAGGUCGAUGGAGAUUUUUUUGAAGUCUCCAACUUAUG